AGAACUCCUUCUAUCACCACUUCAAGCUCCAACAGGCAGAAAAAAAUAGCAUUGAAAGUUUGGUGUAUCCUCCUCAUUCUCCUCUUCUUCCAAACUCAACCGUGGCUACCGAAUCAUUGUAUGGAGACCUGCUCAUGUUGAGGCAGAAGGUCCUGGCAGCCUCUGGUCAAAUGCUCUGAAGGAACUUGCGGAAAUGCGAUGUGCAGAAACCAGAUCAAGCACAUUUGGAACUACACGUACAGAAUAAGAAAUCUGAAAACCAGCCGUAUCUGCUCACUGGUUUAUCUCUCCACGCUGAUUCACUAGAGACGUGAGGCGCUGGGUGCUUCUCAAACACCUCCACAUUCCAGUCUCUUCAGAAUGCAGCUGUAAGAGAGAGAGCAGGCAGGCGGAGCGACAGAGGAGGGAGGAGGGAGAUCUGGAGCAGACUCUGAGCUGAAUGUGAAGCCUGAUGUCAAGCUCCAGCCUGUGACCCUGAGAUCAUGACCUGAGCACAAUCAAGAAUCAGAUACUUAAGCGACUGAGCCACCCAGGCGCCCCACAGAAUACUGGGUCUUCAAUUGUCAUUUAGUCAUCCUCCUGUCCUGAGACAGCCAUGCUAUAAGGAAGCCCAACUAGCCAAAGAGAGACCACAUCGAGAGGCCCUGAGACCUCUCAAUGUAAAUGAAAAAGAUGCUCAGAAAGCCCCUCCUUGGCUGUUAGACCUCCUGCACCUGCAUAGGAGAGGAGAGCUUGAGGCAGAACCGUGGGCAGAACCAUGGAGAACCAUGGUUAGGAAUUAGGCAGGGGUGUUAAUUCCUGACCCAUAGAGCCAGUGAAAGAUAAUAAGAUAAUUGUUGUUGCUUUAAGCAACUACAUUUUGGAGAGCUUUGACACAGCUGUGGAGAACUAGGGCCCUGCUUUGGGACCAAGCACUGUUUGAGGAACUGAGGUACAAUGGUCUGAAAAUAGAACUGUCCUUGCCUGCAUGAAGUUUACAGACCAAGUAGAAACAGAAUAAGUGAGCAUAAUUAGGAUGAACACUUGUCCAAGGGAUAGGAUGGAAUGACCUACAAUAAUGGAAGAAAAAAAUACCAAUGACCACGUGUGGACAGAACUUUCUGAAGCCUUCUGGGUGAAUGAGGAGAAAGUGCCUUAUAUGCAAGAUAAGUAUGAUUUCUUUCCCACUGUCUUGCUGCUGGAUAGGAGAGGAUUGAGGAGGACAAAGCACCAAGAAAGACAAUGUGAGAGGGAAAAAUAGAAACUUUAUCGCCUGAUUGGGACAAGUGUAACUCGAGUGACGCAGAGGUGUUAAGUCAGUUCCUAGAGAUGGGUUAAAUGCUGUUACAGUAAUCCCCCUUUUGGGGGCACUCAGGGGUCAUGCUUCCUUUCAGGUACUUAUUGUUAAGCCAUGGGCAGAAUGAUGCCUAGCUGUGGGUGCUUUGUGGCCAGAACAAAGGGCAAAAUAAGUGUAUAUCCCUCUACUCCCCCCACAUAAUUUAUAGCAUUUUAAUCUUUCUACGUGUCUCUGCUUAUGAAUUUCUUAUAGAAUUAUUUAAUGAUGUGAGUUCAAUGGGCAAUUUUUAAAUCUACUUAAUUUACCAUUUCUUUUCUCAGUGAUGCAGUGAAGCACUGAAUACCAUACCGCAGAGUUGGCAGCCUGAAUGCAGAUUUGCAUUAGUGACAAAGUUGUACCAAGUCCCUCUUGGGUCCCUGGAUAUCCUGAGGCCAAUUUCAGGUGGGAAGUUCAGUUGGAAACAACCAGGAUUCUCACUCAUUUUGAAAGGUCUUCUCAUGCUGGGCCUUAGCUCCCUGCCAGCUCAGCGCAGCAGACGUGGGCCACAUUUUCUGUCCAGAUACUUCCAGAAGAAUCCCAGGCAUCUUUGGAGAGUGUGAGUUGGAGGAGAGUUUGUCCACUGGAUAUAGUGGAGAUGCCAUCACCAACAUGUAAAUACGAUUCAUGCAUCUGCAGGCACCCCAGAGGCCACUGGUCAGACCACCAUUUCCCGAAGCCCAGUCACAGAGAGAGAGAGAGAGAGAGAGAGGCAGAGACACAGGCAGAGGGAGAAGCAGGCUC